UACGAAGGGGGCUAGCGUUGUUCGGAGUUACUGGGCGUAAAGGGUGCGUAGGCGGUCGGGUAAGUCUGGCGUGAAAUCUCCAAGCCUAACUUGGAAACUGCGUUGGAUACUAUCCGGCUCGAGGAAUGGAGGGGAGACUGGAAUACUUGGUGUAGCGGUGAAAUGCGCAGAUAUCAGGAGGAACACCGAUGGCGAAGGCAGGUCUCUGGGCAUUAACUGACGCUGAGGAGCGAAAGCAUGGGGAGCGAACAGG
rnacentral:rRNA from 1 species